rnacentral:rRNA from 1 species
AGCGGCGGACGGGUGAGGAAUACAUAGGAAUUUGCCCUUAAGUGGGGGAUAGCCAGGGGAAACUCUGAGUAAUACCGCAUGAUCUCGUGAGAGCAAAGCAGGGGACCGCAAGGCCUUGCGCUUUUGGAGAAGCCUAUGUCGGAUUAGCUAGUUGGUAGGGUAAUGGCCUACCAAGGCGACGAUCCGUAGCUGGUUUGAGAGAACGAUCAGCCACACCGGAACUGAGACACGGUCCGGACUCCUACGGGAGGCAGCAGUGGGGAAUAUUGGACAAUGGGCGCAAGCCUGAUCCAGCAAUGCCGCGUGUGUGAAGAAGGCCUUCGGGUUGUAAAGCACUUUAGGCAGGGAAGAAAAAAUCGGCGAUAACAUCGCCGGUCUUGACGGUACCUGAGGAAUAAGCACCGGCUAACUCUGUGCCAGCAGCCGCGGUAAUACAGAGGGUGCAAGCGUUAAUCGGAUUUACUGGGCGUAAAGCGUGUGUAGGUGGUUGGAAAAGUCGAUUGUGAAAUCCCUGGGCUCAACCCGGGAACUGCUUUCGG